rnacentral:lncRNA from 1 species
UUGGAUCAAUUUACAAUCCAAUGGAAGUGGGAGAAAAGACAAGAUAAAUUUCUUGUGCAAGAAGGAAGAUAACUUUCAUUCAAAUACUUGGAUGCCUUCUCAUUACAAUUCAUGACUAUUUAUAGGCAAGUCAUGGGUAACAUGAAAAGACAAAAGAAAAUGAAAGGUCAAAAGUCACCUUAAUAUGGGUAACUCACACAAUAAAAGACAUCAAAACCAACUAA